rnacentral:rRNA from 1 species
AUUGAACGCUGGCGGCAUGCUUUACACAUGCAAGUCGAGCGGCAGCGCGGGGGCAACCCUGACGGCGAGCGGCGGACGGGUGAGUAAUGCAUCGGAACGUAUCCCGUAGUGGGGGACAACCCAGCGAAAGCUGGGCUAAUACCGCAUAUGCUCUACGGAGGAAAGUGGGGGACUCGCAAGGGCCUCACGCUAUGGGAGCGGCCGAUGUCCGAUUAGCUAGUUGGUGGGGUAAUGGCUUACCAAGGCGACGAUCGGUAGCUGGUCUGAGAGGAUGAUCAGCCACACUGGGACUGAGACACGGCCCAGACUCCUACGGGAGGCAGCAGUGGGGAAUUUUGGACAAUGGGGGCAACCCUGAUCCAGCCAUGCCGCGUGCGGGAAGAAGGCCUUCGGGUUGUAAACCGCUUUUGUCCGGGAAGAAAAGGCCGCCGCUAAUAUCGGUGGUUCUUGACGGUACUGGAAGAAUAAGCACCGGCUAACUACGUGCCAGCCGCCGCCGUAAAAC